UACGAGGGGGGCUAGCGUUGCUCGGAAUUACUGGGCGUAAAGCGCACGUAGGCGGCUUUCUAAGUCGGGGGUGAAAUCCUGGAGCUCAACUCCAGAACUGCCUCGAUACUGGAGAGCUCGAGUCCGGGAGAGGUGAGUGGAACUGCGAGUGUAGAGGUGAAAUUCGUAGAAUAUUCGCAAGAACACCAGUGGCGAAGGCGGCUCACUGGCCCGGUACUGACGCUGAGGUGCGAAAGCGUGGGGAGCAAACAGGGAUUAA
rnacentral:rRNA from 1 species